rnacentral:rRNA from 1 species
AGAAAGCCAAUCUCAGUUCGGAUUGUAGGCUGCAACUCGCCUACAUGAAGUUGGAAUCGCUAGUAAUCGCGAAUCAGAAUGUCGCGGUGAAUACGUUCCCGGGUCUUGUACACACCGCCCGUCACACCACGAGAGUUUACAACACCCGAAGUCAGUGGCCUAACCGCAAGGAGGGAGCUGCCUAAGGUGGGGUAGAUGAUUGGGGUGAAGUCGUAACAAGGUAAC